rnacentral:rRNA from 1 species
GGAGUCUGGGCCGUGUCUCAGUCCCAAUGUGGCCGUUCACCCUCUCAGGUCGGCUAUUGAUCGUUGCCUUGGUGGGCCGUUACCUCACCAACUAGCUAAUCAAACGCGGGUCCAUCUUGUACCUCCGGAGAUUUUCACACUGUAUCAUGCGAUACUGUGCGCUUAUGCGGUUUUACCAGUCGUUUCCAACUGCUAUUCCCCAGUACAAGGCAGGUUACCCACGCGUUACUCACCCGUCCGCCACUAAGAUUAUAAGUCUUCCACCCGAAGGCUUCUGUUAUAUAAUCUCCGUUCGACUUGCAUGUGUUAAGCACGCCGCCAGCGUUUAUC